GCCCCUCCCCUGCUUGUGUUCUUUCUUUCUCUCUCUCUCUCUCUCUCUCUCUCUCUCUCUCUCUCUCAGCAUAAAUAUAUAGAGAGAGCUGAAGGAACAGACAAUAUCCAGCACCCUCCUUUAACUGCUCUGCCUGUACACCCAUCCUCUUGCCUCUUUUGAGAUUUAUACACAACAAACUUUUCUUGUACAAAGUACACUUAAUCUCUCCCCCCAAAGAAAGACAAAACAUCCCACCAGUCACUAUGAACAUCUGGAUGAUGAGAAUUUUAGUUGAGACAAUCCCCCUGGAGGAUAUUUUAUCAUCUUGAGUCUCAAUUAUAAAUCAGUCACCACCAAAGCGUUUAUAUUUAACAGAAGAGAGAGGGAAGGUGAUUAACAAGUGAAAAUAUGUAGGAAAGCAACAGCUGGCAUUGUCCUCAUUGUUAUAAAUCAUAUGGCUAUCUCUCACCUUGUUUUCACAGCCCAGAUCAUUUUCUUGUUGCCCUCAGUCAGCAUCUUAGCUGGCUGGGGUUUUUUACCUAGUGAGGAGACCCUACCCUUCAUUCCUGAAGUAUCUAUGUCCUUAUUGAUUCUUCCUUCGGUGAGUUACUGUAGCCUUCUAUUAACUUUGAACAGCUGAACGUAGAAGCACUACGGAAGCACUCGAGAGAGUGCCCUCCACUGCUUAGCAACAGCCAUAUUUCCCUUGACAAUUGUGACCAAGCACCCCAGUCAAUACAGUAACCCCUUACUUUUCCCCUUGGUUCAGUGGCACAAGCACCCUAAAUGCCCAAGUGCAAGUCACACUUUCCAGUUCAUGGAGAGCACUGGUUUCCUAAUGGACACAUUCCUCCCUUGGGACUCAACCAGCAGAUCCCAAAGUUUCAAGUACAGAAGCCAAAAUUCUGUGAGUGGGGUUAUUAGAUGUAUUAUUGAGAAGAGUCAUUCUUCCUAUUCCCCAAGCCCUGCUUGAUUCCUGGAUCCUUUGAUUCAGUGGACAACUCACUAGCAAAGAGCAUUCCUAAUGCCCAAAUUGUAGUUUAUAAAUACCAUUCACACUUUUAAAACAACAACAACAAAACCCACCUCCUUGGAGAAUGGCUAAUUAAAGGUAAGGGAUGAGAAAUAUAGAGAACUCGGAAAGGCUUCUUGUUUCAGAAAAUAAGGCCGUUAUCAGAAACUCCUGGAGUCAAGUCAAAAAGACACAGAGCUUUGGGGAUUUUAAAGCCUAACUUUAAAGGGCUCUCACUAGCUUUAGCAGGCUGCAUAAUGGCCACCAAUGAUAUCAGGUCCUAAUCUUUGAAAGAUGUGUUUCCUUAUACUGCAAAAAUUUUGCAAACGUGACUAAGGAUUUUGAAAUGGAGAGAACACGGGAUAGUCAGGGUGUGCCCUAAAUGCAAUUAUACAUCUCUUUUAUGAGAGGGAUGCAUAAGAAGAUUUGAGACACAAAAGAGAAAGCCAUAUGACCACAGAGGUUGAGGUUGGAGUAACGUGGCUACAAGCCAAGGAUGGCUGGCAGGUACCAGAAGGUAGAAGAGGCAAGGACCACAUUCACCCCUACAGCCUUCACAGGGAUCACAGCCUUGCCAACACCUGGAUUUUAACCCAGUGAAACUGAUUUUGGGUUUCUGGCCUCCAGGACUGUGAAACAAUAAAAUUUCUGUUAUUUACAGCCACCAAAUUUGUGACAAUUUGGUACAGUAGCCACAGGAAAAUAAUACACUAGCCAAAAACGGAGCAUUUCAAGCAUCAAAAUAAUUGAAGUGCAUCACAGCAUAUAAAGUAUGUUUUUAAGCCACAGGUUCAAAAUGAUACCAACACCUUCCCUAUGUAUGUAAAUUUGCUGCUAGCUAAACUGUUCAGUGUUCUAAAAGCGGAUAAUGGGAAAUAACUGUACCUCACUGGAAUAAGAGAGUUAUGAAAAAUUUGUGCUUUAUAAAAAUGUGAACGAUUUGUAGAAUUAAGAGGUUUCCAUUUUACAGUUCAUUAUGAAAUAAUAUCAACGAUCAUCAAUGACUGCUAAAACGAUUAGGUCGAAAGGUUAUGGGGAAUUUAUAAUCAUGCUGACAACGUCCAAACCCCACAGUUCAGUCCCAUCAUUUUAAAAACACACACACACACACACACACACACACAAAACGAUGUUAUGUACCUCCUGCUGGGAUACAACAGGAAAUACAAAAUACCAACCAUGACAUUUUCUUGGCAAAAUUUCAAAACUGGAUCAGGCUCCCCCAGAUCCGAAUACCAGUUUAUAAGAAGUAUUGGGGAGAGAAAUAUGUUAAAUGAAAGAACUGAUAGCAUCCUAUAAGCAGAAUCCACAAUGUGAGGGAAAAUGUAGAGGGAAAAGACCUACCUUGUUCAACAAAUUGCCAAAAAGACCAAAAAGGAGGAAGGGGAAAUUUAUAAUUAAAGAUUUAAGAGAGUUCAAAUGUUACCGUUUCUGUAAACCUUUAAUAGACUCCUUGAAAUAGAACAAAUCCCUCACUUCAAAGCAAUCCCAACACAUCAAGAACUUGACACUCCACUAUGCCCCUUUUCCCUAUUCCAGGAUCCCCCCUUCCCCUUCCACCUUACUCAGAUUCACUUCCAUGGUCAUCAUUAUGAUCACUCUCUCGCACAUAACAUAAGCUCCUUUGCCCCCUCUCAUACUUGCUUGGGUAGAUCACACACCCGAGUAAAUCCUACUCUGUAUGCCUGUCCUCUAGCAGCUGAACGUGGAUGAAUAGCUGAUUUCUUUUUAGACUCACCCUCCUUAAUGUCACUGGAACCUUAAUGCUGCCUGGCAGUUUUUUCCCCUUGGUCUGGCUUCUUUUCCAGUUUCCAAUUUGAAACAAUUAUACCUUUUCCUCUUUCCAAACACCUCCAAAAUCUCCUCCAUCCUCAUCUGAUAAAGUCAUCUUGCUCGAUAUUUCACUGAAUUAAAUAAAGGUAGUAAGAGAACUUCCAAGACAUCUAAAUGACUAAUAAACAUACGAAAAGCUACGACACAUGCAAAUUAAAACUGUACAACCUGGUACCACUACCACUCACCAGAACGGUUAAAAUGACAGUAGAAAUACAGGCAUUCCUCAGACAUUUUGUGGCUCGGGCUCCAGACCACUGCAAUGAAACAGCUAUCACAAAAAAACAAGUCAAAUUAAUUUUUUGGUUGCCCAGUGCAUAUAAAAGUUACAAUUAUGCUACACUGUGGUCUAUGGUGUGUGCAAUAGCAUUAUGCCUUAAAAAAAAAAAAAAAAAAAAAAAAAAAAAAAAAAAAAGAGCAUAGACCUUAAUUUGAAAAUACUUUAUCGUUAAGAAUAAAUGCUAACCAUCAUCUGGGCUUUCAGCAAGUUGUCAGGUUUUGGCUGGUGGAGGGUCUUGCCUCGAUGUUGAUGGCUGCUGCGUGACCAGGGUGGUGGUUGCUAGGAUGUCUGUGGCAGUUUCUUAAAAUAAGACAACAAUGGAGUUGGCCACAUCAUUCACUCUUCCUUUCACAAUUUCUCUGUAGCCUGUGAUGCUGUUGGAUAGCAUUUUACCCAGAAAACUUCUUCCAAAAGGAGUCAAUCCUCUGGUUGCUGCUUUGUCAACUAAAUUUAUGUACUCAACACUUUGUUGUCAUUUCAACAAUCUUCGCAGCAUCUUCACCAGUCGAUUCCAUCUCGAGAAACCACUCAUCACCAUAACAAAUACAAUAAUAAUGAAAAAGUUUGAAGCACCUCAAGAAUUACCAAAACAUGACAAGGACACAGUGAACAAAUCCUAUUGGAAAAAUGGCACCCAAAGACUCCCUCAACAUAGGAUUGCCACAAACCUUCCAGGUGUGAAAAAGAGAAGCACAAUUCAGUGAAACUCAAUAAAACAAGGUGCAAUGUUAAUGAAAGAAGAGAGAAACCGAACUCUACAAGCUCCCACUGCUUCAUGGAACUGUCCACGUGCAUCUGAGCCCCUUCACUGGCCUUCGCUCCUGUUACUGUGGGUGUUCCAUCAAAGAUAGGCUUUGCCUCCUGUGCCCUACAGAAUUACCCCCUCUCUUGCUAAGAAUGCCACUCUGGCAGGUCUCCCAUCUCAUUCCCACACCUUUUCUCUCGACUAGAUUUUUCCCAUCAACCUACAGACAUACUAUCACUUUUCUACUGUCUAAGACAACCUUCUCAACCUUCGGUUGCUGUAGUUUUUUUCCCCUUCUCUUGGGCUAGAGCAAAACUCAAAUGAUUGUAUGCACUGAAUGCCAAUUUGUUCUAAUACCCUCUUUGAACCACUCCAGUCAUGUUCUCACCUCCACACUCCACAAACACAGAUCUUCUCAUCCAGGUCACCUCCACAUUGUUCAGCCCGGUGGCCACUUCUUCAUCGCCGUCUUCCGUGAUUUUCCGCCGUUUUGAGGCUUAAUCGUCAACUCCCUCUUUCCCAGAUCACUUUCUCCUUCAGGCUUCCAGAAUACUGAGCACCCAUGUUGCCCUCUACCACACUACUAGCUGCUCCUUUCCAACUUUCUUAUAUGGUUCCUCUUGACAUCUCUGGCCUCUCAUUUGGGAGAUCCCCAGAGUUCAUCCAGGGGCUUAGUGUCCAUCCAUGUUUUCUCCUCUGGGGCUCAUAUGCAGCAUCAUGUACACACUGCGUAAGUGGAGGAACACCAACGAAAUGUCUCCAGCCCAGACCUCUCUCCCGAACUCAGGCUCCUGACACAUCUGUCUCCCAGCGUUUCUACCUAGAUGUCUAACAGGCAUCUCCAAUUUUCUAUGUGCAACAUCAAACUCCGGAUCUGCCCCUAAAAACCCACUCUUUCACAGGUUUCCCAUCUUGGUUAACGGAAACUCUAUCCUUCUGACUCCUCACCAGGACAAAACCCUCGGAGACAUUCUUGACUCCACCAUUUCUCUCCUAAACAAACUCAGUCUGUCAGCAGGUCCUCAAACAGAACCGCGAAAGCAUUUCUAGAAUCGGACCACUCUCACCAUUUCUACUUCUGUAACCCUGGCCUCAGCCACUAUUGCUAGUGCCAGGAUUAUUGCCAGAACCUCCUAACUGGCUUUCCUGCUUCCCCUCCCUCCCAACCAGUCUGGUCUUGGUGCAGCAUUGAAACAUUGACCAGAUCAAGUCAGUCCUCUGCUCAAAACCUUCCACGUCCUACCUAUUUCACGCAAAGACAAUUUCCGUGUGACCGGUUACAAGGGCAUUCACAGCAUACCCCUUCCCCCUUGUACUGUUACCUCUUCUUUGUCCCCACCUUUCCUCUGCUCCAUUGACACUAGCCUCCUUGCUGCUCCUCAAACAUGGAAGAUGAGCUUCUGCUUCAAGGCCUUGCAACUCUUUCCUCUUGGCCUAGAAUGCUCUUCCCCCAUUUAUCCUCACGGAUCAUCCCUUCAUCUUCUUCAGACCUGGACUCAAAUGUCACUUUUUCAUUAAGGGCCUCCCUGACCACAGUAUUUACCAAUGUUAAGCACUCUCCCUCUCCACCCCACUCUCCUACAGUCUCUAUCACUUCCUUUAAUUUCUCUCUAGCGCCAUCUCCUUCCGAUACACAUAUGUAUUACUUAUCUGUCUGCUGUCGGUUUCCUGCUAGUAUGUAACAACAGGAGCAUGAGGAUUUCUGUCUUGUUGACUGCUAUAUCCCCGGUGUCAAGAACAAUGCCUAGUAAAUAGUAAGAGUUUAGUUACUAUUUGCGGAACGAACAUAGGAGUUAUGUCAGUCCCUGUCACACACUCAAGCUUCAAAGAGAUGGGAACCACAUCUUAACUAUCUUUGUAAUAAAUGACUGACUAAAUGGAAGAAAGAAGAACGGAUCUUCAGUUUAAUGAAGGUACUUACUGAAGGCAAUGCAUUCAAUUGUCCUUUUCAUUUUUAAUGCAAAUACUUGCUCUCCCCUGAACAAAUCAGGUCAGCUAUUCCCAAACAAUGUUACCAACUGCCUUUUCUUCCUUUCUUAAAUUUUCCCUCAAUCAAGAGCAAAGAUUACAAUAGGCAGAGCGUGCAAUAAAAAUAUAGUGAUUAAACAAUGCUUACCAAAUCAAAAAGAGGAAAUAUUCAAACCUUGAGAGGUAAUACAAACAUUGUUGCACAACUCACUUAUGAUUUUUCUUGUCCCAAGAAAGGUUAAAGAAACAGAUAUGACUCAGAAGGAAGGAAAAAACCAACAGAUAUGUUAGUUUAAUCAUAUGAUUUCUAAAAUACACUCAAUAAAUGAGGGCAAAUUUUGACCCUUCUGAUAUGAA